ACAAACGCACCCAACAGUCUCUGCUAGGGCACAACUUGGUGUGCAGCGCCGUCAACCCCCUUUGGGGGUCUCCUUCCCCAUUGGGGGGUUUUCUCCUCCACCAUGGAGGCUUUCCUUCUGCUUUUUAGAGCUUCCUUCCCACAUUAGGUAGGUUCCUUCCCACAUCAGGUGGGUUUCUUCCACAUUAGGUGGAUUUCUUACCCAAAUAAGUGGGUUUUGUUUCUUCCAAAUCCGCCUCAUUUGCCUCCACCGCCAAAUCCGCCACCACCUUCAACCACCGGGUGUCAAAGCUCCAGAUCUAGAGCGUUCAUGUCUUUUUCAAAGGAACCAGGUCUCUGGUUUAGCCUCAAUGGUCCAGAAGCUCGACCUGCCGUGUUGCUCUGUUGUAACCUGUGCCUGAGGCCAUCUUCUUCUCCGUCCCUUUCUGGUGGCACCUUAGGUUGCUAAAGGUGACCUUGAGUUGAAUCUGUUUUGUAAGCAAAGUAGGUUGGAUCUGUGCUCCACUGUUUCGUGGUAACAGUUCCGAUUCCCACCUUUAGCUCCGGCCACAGUACCAACGCUGGUUCUCCACUCUGUUGGUUUCCUCCACUAUGUUGGUUUCGCUCACGGCACAAUGAUCUCUGGCAUUCCUUCUGGGCUUCUCUUACCUACUUCAUCCUUCGCCCCCUUCAGCUUUUGCUGCUGCUGUGUUUUUGGAAUCGUCAGAAGUUUCCCUCAUCGCCUUGUUCUCAGAGCUGUGAAAUGACCCCUUUUGUUGCCGCUGAAGCCACGCCGUAGGCUUCCUUUUCAUCGGCACGCUACUAAUCCGGCAGAGUCGGGUUGUAGGUUUGGGAGCACUGGUUAAAGUUGUUCAUAUCUUCUCCGCUCAGAAGUCAUAUGGCGCUUUGUUAAUUUGGGUUUUGAGGGGCUUUUGUUUGUCUCAAGGGUUUUUACAUCAUGUUCAAUGCUGAUUGUUUCAGCUGAGUAGGCAUGCUUGCUCUUUAUUUUCUUAUGAUUGUGUGCAUUGUGGUAGCUCUCAGAGAUUUACUCUCGCAUGUUGUAAGUGUCGUUUGACAACCUUUUGAGUUUUAUUCCAUACACCUUUGUUAAAAAAAAAAAAACCAAACUACCUAGAAUAAGAAAAAUGAGCAAACCAAAAGAACAUAUGUGGGAAGGAAUAUGAUUAACAACAAAAAAAAAACAAAAAGGAGAAACUACCACUGCAUGCAUAUGUACAAUUGUAACGCAUACCAAGAUAUUUCCUCACCAAAAGGGCACUUCUCGCUCUAAU
rnacentral:lncRNA from 1 species